GAUGAACGCUAGCGGCAGGCUUAACACAUGCAAGUCGAGGGGCAGCGUGGAGCAGCAAUGCUCUGACGGCGACCGGCGGAAGGGUGCGUAACACGUGAGCGACUUGCCCGUCACAGGGGGAUAACCGGCGGAAACGGCGACUAAUACCCCAUACGAUGUGAUGCUGCAUGGCAUUGCAUUGAAAGAUUCAUCGGUGGCGGAUAGGCUCGCGGGACAUUAGCUAGACGGCGGGGCAACGGCCCACCGUGGCGACGAUGUCUAGGGGUUCUGAGAGGAAGGCCCCCCACACUGGGACUGAGACACGGCCCAGACUCCUACGGGAGGCAGCAGUGAGGAAUAUUGGUCAAUGGGCGGAAGCCUGAACCAGCCAUGCCGCGUGAAGGACUAAGGCCCUACGGGUCGUAAACUUCUUUAGACGCAGAGCAAUAAGGUCCACGCGUGGACCGAUGAGAGUAUGCGUAGAAUAAGCAUCGGCUAACUCCG
rnacentral:rRNA from 1 species